rnacentral:snRNA from 1 species
GGAUGUGAGGGCGAUCUGGCUGCGACAUCUGUCACCCCAUUGAUCGCCAGGGUUGAUUCGGCUGAUCUGGCUGGCUAGGCGGGUGUCCCCCUCCUCCCUCACCGAUCCAUGUGCGUCCCCCCCGAAGCUGCGCGCUAGGUCGAAGAGGACGACCUUCCCCCCCGAGGAGAGGACCGGUCUUCGAUCAAGGGUAUACGAGUAGCUGCGCUCCCCUGCUAGAACCUCCAAACAAGCUCUCAAGAAUUUUACAGACUAGAAAAAAGUCUAUGUUUAUAUACAUUUAAUGUUUAUGGCUAAAGGCAGACAUAAAUAUCU